GGACGGGACUCUGGAGAGACUCUUAUACAGGGCGCCGAAGGUGAAACACAGCAAUUAUAUUGCUGACAAAUCUCUCAGGCAAAAGGACAGAGACAAAUUC
rnacentral:ncRNA from 2 species